rnacentral:rRNA from 1 species
GACGAACGCUGGCGGCGUGCUUAACACAUGCAAGUCGAGCGGUAAGGCCCUUUCGGGGGUACACGAGCGGCGAACGGGUGAGUAACACGUGGGUGACCUGCCCUUAGCUCUGGGAUAAGCCUGGGAAACUGGGUCUAAUACCGGAUAUGACUCCAUGACGCAUGUUGUGGGGUGGAAAGCCUUGUGCGGCUAGGGAUGGGCCCGCGGCCUAUCAGCUUGUUGGUGGGGUGAUGGCCACCAAGGCGACGACGGGUAGCCGGCCUGAGAGGGCGACCGGCCACACUGGGACUGAGACACGGCCCAGACUCCUACGGGAGGCAGCAGUAGGGGAAUCUUGCGCAAUGGGCGAAAGCCUGACGCAGCGACGCCGCGU